UACGUAGGGGGCUAGCGUUAUCCGGAAUUACUGGGCGUAAAGGGUGCGUAGGUGGUUUCUUAAGUCAGAGGUGAAAGGCUACGGCUCAACCGUAGUAAGCCUUUGAAACUGGGGAACUUGAGUGCAGGAGAGGAGAGUGGAAUUCCUAGUGUAGCGGUGAAAUGCGUAGAUAUUAGGAGGAACACCAGUUGCGAAGACGGCUCUCUGGACUGUAACUGACACUGAGGCACGAAAGCGUGGGGAGCAAACAGG
rnacentral:rRNA from 1 species